CCAGAAUGUUCUUGGGCAAAUCUUGGGCAUUAUAAUCCUGACGAGUUUGAAUAGUGCUCCACAGUGAAGUCCAAAAACAUGAAACUACUUACCCAAAAUAGCAACGAACUUUCCAGCCACUUUGUGUUCUUUCAAAGCUGAAAAACCCCAAUCCCACAAUUACCCAUUGAGAAACCUCCUGCCCACCUUAGCUUCCCAUUAGCGCCGUGCCGUUCACCUUAGUCACUUGGCAUGCUCCAAACAGAACAAAGUAGGUGAGUUCAAGUGAGCCACGGGGCAGGAUCUCCCCUUUUCCAUUCUCAGGCUGAAUUCCCCCCCCCCUUUGUUCUUUCCAGGGGAGGGAGGAGUCUGGGAGAGACUGCUGAGGUCCAUUUCCAGACGGUACCUGUGGGCCACAGAGAGUCUUCUCAGAAAACAACCGGCCACUGCAGCUCUGCAGGGAGAAGCACAGCAGGAGCCACUUAGGGACCCAGGCAGGAGACGGAGAAACGGAGCUGGCCCUGGAUGUCCGGGGAGGGACAUCCCAAUUCACCUUGGACAGGCCAGCUUGCACAUGGCCCCGCUGUAGGACAGGGCUUGCCUGGCCGUCUGGGCUACCUGCCAUCUGGGACUCCCAGAGGAGCCUCCGCCGUCGCAGUCAGGCCAACAGACCUAUCGGAAUUAGAGGGGUCCUGACCUCGUCCUUGUGGGCCGUUUGGGGCAGGAUCCUCACCUGCCAGGCCACCCACUGGACGUGCUGGCCACACGUGCUCAGAGGAUUCCAGGGCUGCACUGUGCUUGGCUGCCCAGGCGGCUUGGACGGGGACACCGGCUACUCCACGUAGGAACUGGGCCAAGUCUCCAACUGGGUCAGUCGCCAUUCAUGUGUCGACUCUGUUCUGCGUGACCAGUGCUCGCAGAUGGCUUUUCACCCAGUGGCUCCGUGGCUAUGGUCAGCCCUCCCUACCUGCAGGUGCUCAUCCACCCCCAGCUGUGGACUGAACCCAGUGGAAAGAGGAAAUAUCUGUCGGGAGCGUGUACAGAGUCACUCCUCAUCAGAAUGCACCCUAACAACUGCUUCCACCCAUCGAACCCCAUUCGGCAUCAUGAGUAAUUGAGAGAUGACGUGAAGGACCCAGGAAGAUGUAUGGAGGGUCGGAGCCAAUACCACAUCGUGUCACAUGAAGACACCUCACAGGUCCGGUUACCCCUGACACCGAGGAAUGACUGUACUUGAAACGUGGACGGUGGUCCCCUGGGUGCCUAGCUGGAGGUCGGUCACUGGCUUUACUCUGGCCCCCCACACCAAGGAAACUCGACAUGCCCCCCACUCCCAUGGGCCUCGGUUACGGUCAACGACAAACCACUCUCCAGCGGCUGCAGAGAGCAAGAGGUGCACACUUUGGACCAAGAAUCAAAGAGAUGCUGAUGCAGUGGAGAUGCUGAUGGAUUUCUUCCCAGUUCUCUCUCAGCUCUUGGCAGUCUCUCAUGCGUUGUGGAGUCCUGGCACCAUGUUGGAGCUCGAAGCCCUGCGUCGGCCCUUCUGGGCAUGGUUCCACGUCUGCCAUUGGCUUCGCCAAGGGUUGACACCCCAGAGCCUUUCCCUCUCCCACAGGUUCUCCCUGGACACAGGCCAGCCCUGCCCUCGGGGAACCGAGCUUCUGCCAGCCUGGGGGGCUCCCAUCGGGGACUUCUGCUGCCCUCACUUGCCCGAGGGCCCGUGGAUCCAUGAUGUCCUCCUUCCCGUGAUGUGCAUCCGUCAGGCUGCGAUCGAUCGUCUCGGGGUUUGCUACAGCAACAGGAAGCUGACGGCCACACAGACUCUGGGCUCCAUCCACGGCAAGAUCUGGCAAGACACAUGUGGUUCCGGGACUGUGUCUGGGAACUGGGCCUCUGGGUGCUGUUCCCAGGGGGGCCAUGUGUCUGUGUGUCUCCCUUGGUACCCUGAGAUGGGUCUCUGUGGACCUGGGUUCCCUCCUUUUAAAGACAGGACUCUGAGCCGUUUUCAGGCCGAAUACACCAUGGUUCCAUUCCCAAA